rnacentral:rRNA from 1 species
GACGAACGCUGGCGGCGUGCUUAACACAUGCAAGUCGAGCGGUAAGGCCCUUUCGGGGGUACACGAGCGGCGAACGGGUGAGUAACACGUGGGUGACCUGCCUUUAGCUCUGGGAUAAGCCUGGGAAACCGGGUCUAAUACCGGAUAUGACUCCGCGGCGCAUGUUGUGGGGUGGAAAGCCUUGUGCGGCUGGAGAUGGGCCCGCGGCCUAUCAGCUUGUUGGUGGGGUGAUGGCCUACCAAGGCGACGACGGUAGCCGGCCUGAGAGGGCGACCGGCCACACUGGGACUGAGACACGGCCCAGACUCCUACGGGAGGCAGCAGUGGGGAAUCUUGCGCAAUGGGCGAAAGCCUGACGCAGCGACGCCGCGUGAGGGAUGAC